GGGAAACUGGGUGGGUUAUGAUUGAUCCCUCUUAUUCUCAACACCCAGUCACAUGACUAUUAAAAUGUAAACGUUUAUUUACUUUAAAUAAAUAAUAAGUGACAACUGAUUUUCAAAUAAGUAAAUACUAAUUUAUUUUACAUGAUUAAAGGGAGAUCAAUAAUUUGUCAUUUUAUGACAUGACAGUGAUUAAAACUAAAGGUUAAAGUUUAUAUUAUUUUGCUAAAUAAUAUUAUCAGAGGUUUUAUGCAGCUAUCCUUUUAUUACUUUAUCCUUCCUGUGUUUAUGUGACCGCUUUUUAUUGGUCAUUUGAGUAUUCACGCUGUAUUGUCAGUAGUGUUUGGCUGCAUGCACGUAAAAAAAAAAACGGGGUACACGUGACUGGAUAGAGCGACGCGGAUGAGAAAGUGCUGGAAGCCGUUUUUUUUUCCUCGCUCGUCGUUUUUUUUUUGGCUCGCUCUCUCUCGCUGGACCCGUGGGGAGAACGGGAUGCUCGCACGUUUAGAGAGAAGGAAAAAGACGCUAAAAAGAGCCAUUAACGUCGACGAAACUGAGAGGGAGGUUCAGAGAAGGGGACCGCGGAUGUUUGUGACUGUGAGAAACGAGAGACUGAGCGAGACACGAGGCCGGCGAUCCGUCUGACGGAGCGGACGACGCGAUCGGAGGUAGCCGAGCUAGCUAGCCACGGCGGGCGCACGCGAGGCGGAGCUGUUGGUUCAUCGCACUGCACCUGAGUAUCCGGACCAGUCUUUUCGACGCUCUCAAUGUUUUGUAAGUGUCAGUUCAGCGCACUCAAUGUUUUGCGAGACCAAAACAGGCCUGCAACGUUGUUUUUUUUUCUUCGUUCGAAUCGGUACCGUGAGUAAACUGGAACAUGUGAGCAUGUAUGUGUGACUGGGCCCAACACUGCAUUAGUUAACACUUGUUACAGGACACUUGACACGUUUUUUGUAAAGUUCUCUGUGCAUUCUCAAUCUUUAGAAAAGAUAUAAGGGAGGAAGAUUUUUACACCCCUUAUUUUGGUAUAAAACGUGUGAUUUAAAGGGAUUAAGGUUAUUAUUUAAUUGUUUGGGAUAUCUUUUGGUUAUUUAUUUUUGUACAUUUUGUCAUAAUUAGGGACUUUUAUAUUGUGUUUUAGGGGAAGUUUUAUAUUUCAUUUGCCAAAUCCUUUUGAUUCAUUAAACAAGGGUUUUACCCAUUUUAUUUUCUAAACUAAAAACCAUCUCUGGGUCUCAUUAUUGUUAAAUAUUCCUGUCAAAAGGUUUUACAAUUGAGUAGAAACUCAUUAGGUGCACCUUCGUGGUAUCCACCUGAACUACAACGAACCCAAGCACCCCCAUUCUCUCGUAUGUAACAUACAGAGUGGUUGUAUGGGUGCUACAUAUUCUUCGAUUGAAUUUGCCCUGAUCAGAGCAUUUAUGCCAAUUAAAGUUAUACAAUGAAUAUGUCUUGUUCUUUUUUUCUUUAGACUAGAGAUUUUAUAAUAUUUAUUGCAUAUAUUAAUUAUAUUUGUGUUAUUAUUUUAUUGAUGUUACAUCUGACAGAAACAACAGCAGUAAUAAUGUAUGUUUCUGUUGGGCCAUCAUCAGAAACACUUGCUUUUCUCACCUGUUCAGUGAGUUGAAAUAAAUUUUAAGUUUUAAAAUUAGCAUGAAGAUUGUCUGAUCUGGAUUCUGCAACAGACCUGUAACAGUGCCUGUCUUGUUAUUGAAUAAACUAAACUAAUAAUCUUGAAUAUUAAUAAUAAGCAUAAGCGCACUAGCUGGCCUGACAGCUGCUAAAAAGAUAAUUGCAUUGAGAUGAAAACCUCUUCAUUCACUUUCUGUUAAACGAUUCUUACAUUUUUUUUUUAUUUGAUUUUUCUCCUGCUCGAGUUCUUUUGACUGUUUUCUUGUGAUUUUGAAAUGCUUUGUAAUGUUCUUUUCUUUUCUUUUCUUUUCUUUUCUUCUUUUAAAAAUGAACCACAAAACAUUAAUCCUAUACAAUACCUCUGAUCUGCUGGACUCGCCUUUGGAGAAGAGCUUUUGUUGAUUUUGUACUCAGAAAAUGUAAGUAUUACUACUAAAGAUAAGAUUACCCCAGAAUGAACUGCAUUGCUUGCACACACCAACACUUACACACAAUAAUAAUGAUAAAUGCUGACCAAUACUUAAUUAUAUUACUUUUUUUCAAUGAAAAUUGUUUUUGCAGUCAAGCAAUGAAUUAAUGCAUGAUUAAUAAAAUAAUUAUAUUUUAUUUACUGACAACAAUAGGAAACAUAAAUGAGUAAAAGAAUGAAUAUAAGUAACCAUCACAAUACAUAAAUAAAUACACAAUUCAACAACACAUGAAACUAAGCUUUUUUUUUUUUUAACUUAUUGUUAUCUCAACAUAGCUGUGCCAAUUCUGCAGCUUUAUUUUGAUGAUGCAGCUGACCACCGUGAACACCUUCGCCUGUCUUUGCCAUUUUAAGAAGAUGUGCGGGACAAUCUGGCUGGCGCUGUGUCUGCUCCAGUCAUUUGUGUGCUCUCCAUGAGCAUUACUACCUUUAAAACAUUUAAACAGAUUAAAACGUUUUACAAUUCAUGUCAGCAUUCUGUUUCUUGCCAUAUUUCAUUUAAUAUUUGUACAAUUAAAUGCUAAUUUCUGUUAUAGCAUUAUUACUUUAGUGGUGUGGUUGCCUAAACCACUGAACUGGUAAGCAGAAGGUUGCUGGUUCGAUCUCCGUAUCCGUCACCGUCCUUGAGCAAGACUCCAGGUUACUCCACAUUGAUCGUCACUGUAAUAAGAGCACUGUCCUGAGCUCUGCAGAAAACAUACAGACAUCAAGAAUAAGAAAAGUGCUGUAAUAAUUUACAAUAAUUAAAAUAAACUACAACUUAAGUUUUAAAUUGAUUGAUUUUUAUUCAUUUCUGUAGUAUCCUCACUCAAAGCCAUUGAUGGCAGCAUUCCUUCAUCAGCCUCUCUCCACCGGAUAAACACACAUGUGACCAUUUGUCUCUGUAACAUCCAGACAAGACUCAAGCUUCCUCUGAGAUUUAUGUGCUCAAUUUACAUGUUGAGGUUGAUGAUGUGUUAACUCACUUUUUAUCCAACACAAAUGUUCCUUAAUUUAUCAACAGUACUAACAGACAAAUAAAAUAGAUAACUUAUGUCUAGUUACUUGUACAUUUGUUUUUGUUUUUUUACAUUACUUGCAUUCAUGUAAUGUAAGCAGUGUUGACAACAGUGAAUUCUACAUAAUAGUACACACACAUCACUCAGAUGUAUAUUUCAUGUUGUGAUGUGCUUAUCAUCUGCAAUAUUUAUUGAAUAUUUCCCUGUCAGGUGUUAAAUAAACAUUUAGAAAGUGACUUUAUGAUGUAUAUGGUUUAGAUUUCAUGUAAAUCCACUUUGGAGACGAACGUGUGCUUUCUGAUGCUCCCCUGUUAACUGUACAUAAUAAAACGUGUUUGUAAGUUUUAAAAAUA